GUCCCUAUCGUAUAGUGGUUAGUACAUCACGUUGUGGCCGUGAAAACCCCGGCUCGAAUCCGGGAAGGGACC
rnacentral:tRNA from 1 species